UCUGACCGUCUUUCGCUCAGUGUCAGUGCGAGCAGGCACGGAAUAUUUUUUAGAGGGAGAUGUUCUGUCAUUUGCUCUUGACAAGUCGAAACUUUUUGCUUGGGACGCAGUGUUUACGUAGUAAAGUUUGUGUGGUGAUUUGGUGUAGUGUUUCAUAAAUUCUCAAGUGCAGUUUAUUACCAGACCAAAUUAGGCCAAAUUACCAAAUUAGGUCAAUAAAUAGGAAAGGUUUGCAGUGAAUACAAUCAGUGUGUAAAUAUCGGAUGUUUUGCGGACGCAUUGCUUCAUGCGUUAAGCAAUCCUGAAGUGGACGUGAUCGCCGUUUUGUGGAUAUUUACACAAAGCAGAAAAUAGUGAACAACUCGGCUAUUCUGGAAGAGAAUGAUGAUUUCGAUUCGAAGCGGACGCCUGGUGCCUCAUAAAACAGGUGUCGUUGGACAACCUCCACAUUCGUCCUGCCAAAAGAUGGGAAGAUGUUCCCUCCUGUGUUAUUUCUAAGAAGAAAAAAAGACAGAUCACACUCUGUGUGGGAAAAAAAUACGCACGUCUGUAUCGUCCUGAUCCCGAUUUGCGUCCCGAAGGCAUUUUGUGCAUCCUUUCGCAUAGAACUGCAGAAGAGCAUUCGCGCGCGCCCUCCAAAAACCGGCCUUGUGAAAGUGAAGAUUCAUUUGCAUACGGCACCUCUCUGCUCCUCGCUUGUAAUUAUCGGCA